rnacentral:tRNA from 1 species
UGCCCUUUAGCUCAGUGGUAGAGCACACGACUGAUAAUCGUGAGGUCAUCAGUUCAAAUCUGAUAGGGGCAA